CUAAAACCAGGGCGGGGGCCAAUAAUGCAAGUCGAACGCGUUGGCCCAAUUGAUUGAUGGUGCUUGCACCUGAUUGAUUUUGGUCGCCAACGAGUGGCGGACGGGUGAGUAACACGUAGGUAACCUGCCCAGAAGCGGGGGACAACAUUUGGAAACAGAUGCUAAUACCGCAUAACAACGUUGUUCGCAUGAACAACGCUUAAAAGAUGGCUUCUCGCUAUCACUUCUGGAUGGACCUGCGGUGCAUUAGCUUGUUGGUGGGGUAACGGCCUACCAAGGCGAUGAUGCAUAGCCGAGUUGAGAGACUGAUCGGCCACAAUGGGACUGAGACACGGCCCAUACUCCUACGGGAGGCAGCAGUAGGGAAUCUUCCACAAUGGGCGCAAGCCUGAUGGAGCAA
rnacentral:rRNA from 2 species